UCUCCAGACUCCUACGGGAGGCAGCAGUGGGGGAUAUUGCACAAUGGGGGGAACCCUGAUGCAGCGACGCCGCGUGGGUGAAGGAGCGUUUCGGCGCGUAAAGCCCUGUCAGCAGGGAAGAAAAUGACGGUACCUGAAGAAGAAGCCCCGGCUAACUACGUGCCAGCAGCCGCGGUAAUACGUAGGGGGCAAGCGUUAUCCGGAUUCACUGGGUGUAAAGGGAGCGUAGACGGCGACGCAAGUCUGGAGUGAAAGCCCGGGGCCCAACCCCGGGACUGCUCUGGAAACUGCGGCGCUGGAGUACGGGAGGGGCAGGCGGAAUUCCUGGUGUAGCGGUGAAAUGCGUAGAUAUCAGGAGGAACACCGGCGGCGAAGGCGGCCUGCUGGACUGCGACUGACGUUGAGGCCCGAAAGCGUGGGGAGCAAACAGGAUUAGAUACCCGAGUAC
rnacentral:rRNA from 1 species